rnacentral:lncRNA from 1 species
ACGGCGCGGGGAGGCUCCGCCCGGCUCCCUCGGACCGCCCCGCGUCAGAACGCAGGCCGCGGGGCAGGACGUCGAGGGCUCGGGACGCCUUGCUGGCUGGCGACCUGGCGCGUGGAGCUGGGGACCGGGAUGAGGCGACAGGCUCAGUCAGUGACAAUCGGAGCGGCCGGGCCCACUUGCACGAUCCCUGGAUUGGCGCGACCUCCGGGGUUGAAGGGGGCGGGGCGAGCGGAGCGCGCGUCACGUGACUCCCGGGCUGCGCUUGGAGCUGGGUCUCUGCGACUCCAAGGCUUGGGGUUCGAGUCUGUACCCACAAAUCCUUUGUGUGCUGCGGUUUAAAAAAACCACAGAUGAUGGUGCUGGAUCAUCGCUAGUUAAAGUGCUGGAUAUGCCCAAGGUCACAUGGCCUAAGAAAAACUGCUCUCCCUUCCAAGGACCCAGCAGUCUUUAGACCAGCUCAAGGUGAAGUGUGAGAGUGGCCUGAACAUGGACAGGAGGAGGAGACCCUCUGGUCCUUUCUCACUUGGGAGUGAUGGGUAAAAUAUCUCACUGUAAAUCUCCCUAAGUGUUACCCACUGUGACUGAAACGUUAUAUAAUAUAGACCGACCUGAGGUUCAAAGAUCAUACUUUAACAUUGUGAAAUGUGCUAACAAUUCCAGUGCUCAAAUCUUCUGUCCCCCCGUACCCCCCCCCCAUCACCACUUUCUCCCUCCAUCACCACUCCAGCCAAACUCUCUGGAUGACUUUGAACCUCACGUAAACUGGUAAAAGUAGGUACAUAUUUGGUUCUAUCAGACUUAACUUUUUUAUUACAAGAGUACUCUUGAUCAGGGUGCAUGGAAACAAGUACCUCUAUAAACCAUGUAUUGGAGGAUAAGUUGAUACAAUUUCUAUAAAGACUAGUGCCAUUAUGUGGUCUAUGCAUGGAGAAAGAGACAGAUAUCCAGACCCUCCUAUAUUAUUUUGUAAGGAGACACAGAGUUUUAGCCUUAAAUCAUACCUCAUAAGCCAGGCAUGAUGGAUACCUAUUGUAUUUGGCUAUUCUUGGUAGCCGGCUUGACUACAUCGGGAACCAAAGUGGCUAGGUACACAUGUGAGGGAUUUUGGUUUUGUUUAUGAAUUAAGUCAUUGGCAGUGGGAAGAAGACACACUUCUAAUCUCAAUGUUCUGAGGUGAGACUCUGGGCCACAGCUUCUGCUGGCAACCUGUAUGCAGGAAGAAAGCAGCUUUUGCCCCCUUCCUGUUUGUUCUUGCUUUCGCUGGCACAUCCAUUUCUUCUUGGAAUUAAAGCCUACUUCUUUGGGACUCUGGUGAAUACCGAAGACCAGCUGAGACAUCCAGCCUUAUGGUCUGAACUACUACUGGAUUCUUAGAUCUUGCAUUGGUAGACAGCAAUUGUUGGGCUUGCUGGAUCACAGCCUGUAAGCUAUUCUAAUGAAUCACUGAUAGAUGGUAGAUAGAUAGAUAGAUAGAUAGAUAGAUAGAUAGAUAGAGAUUCAUUCUAUAAGUUCUGUGCCUCUAGAGAACCUUGACUAAUAAACCUGUAAUUCCUGUAUGUGAAAGAUAGACACAGGAAUUAUGAAUUCCAAGCCAGUCUGACCUAAUGAGGCUCUCCGUUAAAUAAGUUAAACACACACACACACUUGAUAUACCACAGAAGAAAAAUAUAGUUGUCCUCCAAAAAUAGAAUUGUCUUUACUUAUAAUGGCAUAUUUUAUAAAAAUAAAAAAACUAUGUUGGAGAAUAUGCUAUAAAAGUAUAUUAAUUGUAUUAUGAAGUAAUACAAAUGGUCUACACAUAUUUUAUAAAAUAUUCCAUGCUUAUGAAGAAACACGUUUUCACAAAAGGAAAAAAAAUUGUACCAAAAUGUUGAUGUUUUAAAAAUCCCUUUAAGUAUGGGCAUUUAAUAUGUUUCCUUUGGGCUUUUUUGUAUCUUUCUAAAUUAUGUUUAAAGAAUGUAUGUUAUUUUUGUACUAAAACUAUAAAACAGUAACCUUGUUAACAGUC